CGAGUCGGUCAGGCGAUCGCUGGAAGCUUCUGCUUCUGGAGGAAAGUCCGGGCUCCAUAGGGUAGAGUGCCAGGUAACGCCUGGGGGGCGCGAGCCUACGGAAAGUGCAGCAGAAAGGAAACCGCCAACCUCGGUUGGUAAGGGUGAAAAGGUGCGGUAAGAGCGCACCGCAAAUCUGGUAACAGAUUUGGCGAUGGUAAACCCCACUUGGAGCAAGACCAAAUAGGAACUCAUUAGCCGUGACCCGCGGUGAGUUCGGGUAGGUCGCUACAGGCUGAUGGCGACAUCAGUCGCAGAGGAAUGAUCGUCCACGACAGAACCCGGCUUAUCGACCGACUCUUUUU
rnacentral:RNase_P_RNA from 3 species